UACAGAGGUCUCAAGCGUUGUUCGGAUUCAUUGGGCGUAAAGGGUGCGUAGGUGGCGUCGUAAGUCAGGUGUGAAAUCUCGGAGCUUAACUCCGAAACUGCAUUUGAUACUGCGGUGCUUGAGGACUGGAGAGGAGACUGGAAUUUACGGUGUAGCAGUGAAAUGCGUAGAGAUCGUAAGGAAGACCAGUGGCGAAGGCGGGUCUCUGGACAGUUCCUGACCAGCUGAGGCACGAAGGCCAGGGGAGCAAAACGGG
rnacentral:rRNA from 1 species